rnacentral:rRNA from 1 species
GACGAACGCUGGCGGCGUGCUUAACACAUGCAAGUCGAACGGUGAAGCGCCUUCCUUUUUGGUGGGUGUGGAUGAGUGGCGAACGGGUGAGUAACACGUGAGUAACCUGCCCCCUUCUUCUGGAUAACCGCAUGAAAGUGUGGCUAAUACGGGAUAUUCUGUGUCUGUCGCAUGAUGGGUCUGGGAAAGAUAUUGUUUCGGUGGGGGAUGGGCUCGCGGCCUAUCAGCUUGUUGGUGGGGUGAUGGCCUACCAAGGCGGUGACGGGUAGCCGGCCUGAGAGGGUGGACGGUCACACUGGGACUGAGACACGGCCCAGACUCCUACGGGAGGCAGCAGUGGGGAAUAUUGCACAAUGGGCGCAAGCCUGAUGCAGCGACGCCGCGUGAGGGAUGGAGGCCUGCGGGUUGUGAACCUCUUUCGCCAGUGAAGCAGGCCUGCCUCGUUUGUGGGUGGGUUGACGGUAGCUGGAGAAGAAGCGCCGGCUAACUACGUG